AAGUCAGUACAGAAGACUACAGAGAGGAAGAGGUGGGCUGAGCAGGAUUUACUAUUGGAGAGUGAGGUCCUUGAAAACCAGCAUAGGAGAAUAAAGGCGUCGUUACCCUUGAGCAUUCGGUCAUGAAACUGCUGGAGAGGAAAUUAAUUAACCCCUGCCAAGGCUUCCCAGCUGCGGGGCAGGAAUUAAGCUGUCAUCCCUCUUGGAUGCUUGGAUCAGACCUGCUUUGGCUGGCUCAGCCUCUGAAUGAACAACCGGCUCUUCUCCCCUUCGGCUGCCCUUAGACUGAGAACACUGCUCCAAGCAGUGCUACAAAGGACGGACGGAACCUAGAGACAAAUGGACCUUUUCCCAAAGUUACAAGGGAACUUAAAAGCUCUGAACUUCCAAACUGAAUAUAAAAUUUCACAAGAUAUAUUUACAUUAAAAAUAAAAGGGUAAAGUCUUUAAAGGAA